CCCUUAGAUGUCCUGGGCCGCACGCGCGUUACACUGAUGCAUUCAACGAGCUUAUAACCUUGGCCGAGAGGCCUGGGCAAUCUUGUUAACGUGCAUCGUGAUAGGGAUAGAUUAUUGAAAUUAUUAAUCUUGAACGAGGAAUUCCUAGUAAACGCAGAUCAUCAAUCUGCAUUGAUUACGUCCCUGCCCUUUGUACACACCGCCCGUCGCACCUACCGAUUGGAUGGUCCGGUGAACCUUCUGGAUUGUGCGGCUUGCCGCGCGAGAAGUUAUGUAAACCUUAUCACUUAGAGGAAGGAGAAGUCGUAACA
rnacentral:rRNA from 1 species